rnacentral:rRNA from 1 species
UACGUAGGGUGCAAGCGUUGUCCGGAUUUAUUGGGUUUAAAGGGUGCGUAGGGGGCUGAUUAAGUCAUGGGUGAAAGCCCGCAGCUCAACUGUGGAAUUGCCUGUGAUACUGAUUAGCUUGAGUGCGGUUGAGGCAGCUGGAAUUGGUGGUGUAGCGGUGAAAUGCAUAGAUACCACCAGGAACACCGAUUGCGAAGGCAGGUUGCUAAGCCGUAACUGACACUGAGGCAUGAAAGCGUGGGGAGCAAACACG